UUUCCGUAGGUGAACCUGCGGAAGGAUCAUUAUUGUAUAACCGAGAUGAGAGGGCUGCCGCUGACUUGAUAGAUCGUGCACGCCCGACUGCCCUCACACCCAUCCAUCUCAGCCCUGUGUGCACCACCGCGUGGGUCCCCCUUUGGCUUGUUCGGAGGGGGGCUUACGUUUUCACACAAACUUUGUAUGAAGUGUAGAAUGUAUUUUUUUUUUUUGCUAUCACGCAAUCAAUACAACUUUCAACAACGGAUCUCUUGGCUCUC
rnacentral:misc_RNA from 1 species